UAACCUCUCACUCGUAUGGCAGUUGCAUCGAAUUCCAUUAUAUGGACAACGACUUGUGAACAAGAUAAACAGACAUUAUAGGUUAAAAUGACAAAAAUAUUGGUACAGCAGUCAGAUUUAUGUUAUAAUCUAAAUCACUAUAAAAAUGUAACAAAGAAGCAUAAAAAUGUAACAAAGAAGCACAAAAAGGCAUACAGACAAAACACAUUAGCAAAAAUGAAAAAAGAAUACAAUAAUUUAUAAUAGCACAAUUACACAAUGACGGGAUGUAUAAGCACAGAACCACGUUGUAUGUCCCAAAAGAAACACAAACAAGUCAUAAUAACAAAGCACAUUAGCAAAAAUGAAAGACAAGAAUAACAAAAAUUAUCAUAGAAAAAUAACACAAUGACGGGAUGUAUACAGAGUCACGUCAAAUGGAUAUCAACAAAACCAGACUAAACAGUAAAAGUAGUAUUCAUAACGACUACUAUAGCACGUUAUUAAGAUGAUAAACAACGCC
rnacentral:lncRNA from 1 species